UACGUAGGGUGCAAGCGUUAUCCGGAAUUAUUGGGCGUAAAGAGCUCGUAGGCGGUUCGUCGCGUCGGCUGUGAAAUCCCGAGGCUCAACCUCGGGUCUGCAGUCGAUACGGGCGGACUGGAGUUCGGUAGGGGAGACUGGAAUUCCUGGUGUAGCGGUGAAAUGCGCAGAUAUCAGGAGGAACACCGGUGGCGAAGGCGGGUCUCUGGGCCGAUACUGACGCUGAGGAGCGAAAGCGUGGGGAGCGAACAGG
rnacentral:rRNA from 1 species